rnacentral:lncRNA from 1 species
CCAUCGCGCCUUGUCAUAUUUGCUAAAUGCUUCUGCAAAUGCUUCCUAAAAAGUUUUGAAGUUAUUCAAAAUUGACGAUCUUUUUUCAAAUAAAGAAGUAAACCAUGAUAGAGCUUGCCCCAUGAGCAAAGUUCCAAGUAGUAUAAUAUAUUGUCAUAUUACGUGAAGUCUUGCUUGAAAAUGCACCGAGCACCUGGCUGUAGGAGGUAAAAGAAAAUUGCAACAAAAGGUCCUAAUAAUCCAAUAGGAUUAUAGAGAAUUUAUAAUUAAACAUUAAGAAUUAUAAUCAAAUAUUAAGCAAGCUCAAUUAAAUUUUAUUGGAGUUAUAAAAGAAACACAAAGAAAUCCUAAAAAAAUAUAAAAGAAUAUUAAAGAAAACUUAGUCAAAACCCUAACAAAAAUCUAAUAGAACCUUAAAUUCUAACCAAAUCCUAAUCCUAAUCCAACCCUAAUCAAACCCUAGAUAAAUCCUAAAUCCUAAACCAAAUCCUAAUCAAACCUUAAUCCCUAACCAAAUCCUAAUUCAAACCUUAAACCCUAAACUAAAUCCUAUCUAAAUCCUAAAUCCUAAACCAAACCUUAAUCAAAACCCUAAAUCCUAAACCAAAUCCUAAUCCAAAUCCUAAAUCCCAAACCAAAUCCUAAUCCAAAGCCUAAAUCCUAACCCUAAAUCAAAUCCUAAUCCAAACCCUAAUCAAACUUUAAACCAAAUCCUAAACCAAAUCCUAACCAAA